CACGAAGGGGGCUAGCGUUGCUCGGAAUCACUGGGCGUAAAGCGCACGUAGGCGGAUUGUUAAGUCAGGGGUGAAAUCCUGGAGCUCAACUCCAGAACUGCCUUUGAUACUGACGGUCUUGAGUUCGGGAGAGGUGAGUGGAACUGCGAGUGUAGAGGUGAAAUUCGUAGAUAUUCGCAAGAACACCAGUGGCGAAGGCGGCUCACUGGCCCGAUACUGACGCUGAGGUGCGAAAGCGUGGGGAGCAAACAGG
rnacentral:rRNA from 1 species